UACAGAGGGUGCAAGCGUUGUUCGGAAUUACUGGGCGUAAAGGGCGCGUAGGCGGUCUUGUAAGUCAGAUGUGAAAGCCCGGGGCUCAACCCCGGAAGUGCAUUUGAAACUGCAAGACUUGAGUGAUGUAGAGGUUGGUGGAAUUCCUAGUGGAGAGGUGAAAUUCGUAGAUAUUAGGAGGAACACCGGUGGCGAAGGCGGCCAACUGGGCAUUAACUGACGCUGAGGCGCGAGAGCAUGGGUAGCAAACAGG
rnacentral:rRNA from 1 species